rnacentral:rRNA from 1 species
GAUGAACGCUGGCGGUAUGCCUAACACAUGCAAGUCGAACGGACUCUUCGGAGUUUGUGGCGGACGGGGGAGUAACGCGUGGGAAUCUGGCUUUGGGUUCGGGACAACCACUGGAAACGGUGGCUUAUGCAGGAUGUGCCGAGAGGCAAAAGAGAAAUUUCCUGAAGAUGAGCUCGCGUCUGAUUACCUUGUUGGUGAGGUAAAUGGUCACCACGGCAGCGAUCAGUAGCUGGUCUGAGAGGAUGACCAGCCAAACUGGGACUGAGAGCCGGCCCAGACUCAUACGGGAGGCAGCAGGGAGGAAUGUUCCGCAAUGGGCGAAUGCCUGACGAAGCAAUACCGCGGGAAGGAAGAAGGCUCUUGGGUUGAACAACUCUUUACUUAAGGAAGAACAAAAUGACGGUACCUAAGGAGAAAGCAACGGCUAACUCCGUG